AUGCUGCUCUUGAUUUUCAAGAGGACUCAUCAUGUGACAUCUCUCAGGCGAUCUAUCAACACAGGACCAAACCUUAGUGCCUUGGCGGCACUAUUCUCACCUUCCACCCUUCUACCAGAAACAACACUUUUAACCUUCAAACGAAACGCAAAGGGAUGGGACUAAUUUAUGGACGACGAAGGCUCCACUCCAGAGCGCAGGCGCAGGAUCCUGGGGUCUUACGUCCCAGUGGAAUACCCCCCCUCUGCGCUGAUGGCAAGUCCUCUUUGGGGAAUUGUGGGGGUUUUUUCCUCCUCUAAUUCACAGCUUGGUUUGCAAAACUGACUUCAGUAUCAACCUCCACAAGAAAUAGCUGAAGAGACUUAAGGUUGAAGGUCUUCCUGGGAUCCACAGGGCUGGCCCAGGGCUGGUGUCCAACUGGUCCCUCAGAAAGUGGCUGGGAGGUGGGGGGAGGUAUCUCACUUAGGCACCGGCUGAUGAAUUAUCUGCCGUCCAUGUCUGUAGACAGUCCUGCCAUACUAUAGUAUUAAACUGGAGACCCCCAUGUCCGUAGUCUGUGCAGGUGCCUGUGUGCAUAUGAUGAGGCAGUUCUAUCUGGGACAGCUGUAGAGCGAAUGCUGGGUAACAGAUUCUCCUAACUGUUUUACCAUGGAAAUUCUUGGGCUUUGUUUUUAGAUACAGAAAGAUUUAAGUAAAAUAUUAUUACAUAGCGAUGACUUUUCAUCCAGAAAGCAUAUGCUACGGACAAGUACAUAUAAAUGCUUGAACAUUCUCUAGAGAGCUCAAUAAAAUACAACUUUUAAAUUUGGUUUCGUAAAAUUGUUUUAAAACGUACAUCAGCAUUUAUACUUUUCUUUUGUGCCUGUUAUUUCUGUGAAAAGCAAAUUUCCUUGAUCAAAUUAAGUAGAUGUGAAUUUUGUUCUUGCUAUUAUCUUAUUUUCAAUAAAUAAAAAUCACUGCGCCAAUACUGCUGUUACGAUAAUACCUUAGGAGUUCAAAAUCUAUUGUCUUAAGAAAAUACAGAAAUGAUGGAGUAAAAUGGUGGAGGAGUGGGGAGGCCCUAAGCACACAUCCUCCCUGGAACACAGCUAGAUAAAUAUCAAAUCAUUCUGAACACCCAAGAACUCAAUCAUAACUGUCAGAGAACAAACCUGCACAUCUAAAAACCAGAAAAAUGACCCAUGGAAGGAAGG
rnacentral:lncRNA from 1 species